UCAGAGGAGCUGGGGCCGGC
rnacentral:misc_RNA from 1 species